rnacentral:rRNA from 1 species
GACGGGGGGGGCAAGCGUUGUCCGGAAUUACUGGGCGUAAAGGGCGCGUAGGCGGUCGCGUACGGCGGUGGUGAAAGCUCCCGGCUCAACUGGGAGAGGCCCGCCGCAACGGCGUGACUCGAGGGUGGUAGAGGUCCAUGGAAUUCCCGGUGUAGCGGUGAAAUGCGUAGAGAUCGGGAGGAACACCCAUGGCGAAGGCAGUGGACUGGGCCAUGCCUGACGCUGAGGCGCGAAGGCCAGGGGAGUGAACGGGAUUAGAUACCCCGGUAAUCCUGGCGGUAAACGAUGGUCACUAGGUGUCUGCGGUAUCGACCCCGCGGGUGCCGGAGCUAACGCGUGAAGUGACCCGCCUGGGGAGUACGGCCGCAAGGUUGAA